AUUGAACGCUGGCGGCAGGCCUAACACAUGCAAGUCGAGCGGGGUUUUCGGACCUAGCGGCGGACGGGUGAGUAAUGCGUAGGAAGCUACCCGAUAGAGGGGGAUACCAGUUGGAAACGACUGUUAAUACCGCAUAAUGUCUACGGACCAAAGUGUGGGACCUUCGGGCCACAUGCUAUCGGAUGCGCCUACGUGGGAUUAGCUAGUUGGUGGGGUAAUGGCUCACCAAGGCGACGAUCCCUAGCUGGUUUGAGAGGAUGAUCAGCCACACUGGAACUGAGACACGGUCCAGACUCCUACGGGAGGCAGCAGUGGGGAAUAUUGGACAAUGGGCGCAAGCCUGAUCCAGCCAUGCCGCGUGUGUGAAGAAGGCCUUCGGGUUGUAAAGCACUUUCAGUAGGGAGGAAGGAUGUUGUGUUAAUAGCACAGCAUUUUGACGUUACCUACAGAAGAAGCACCGGCUAACUCUGUGCCAGCAGCCGCCGCGGUAA
rnacentral:rRNA from 1 species